rnacentral:rRNA from 1 species
GAUGAACGCUGGCGGCGUGCCUAAUACAUGCAAGUCGAGCGAACAGACGAGGAGCUUGCUCCUCUGACGUUAGCGGCGGACGGGUGAGUAACACGUGGAUAACCUACCUAUAAGACUGGGAUAACUUCGGGAAACCGGAGCUAAUACCGGAUAAUAUAUUGAACCGCAUGGUUCAAUAGUGAAAGACGGUUUUGCUGUCACUUAUAGAUGGAUCCGCGCCGCAUUAGCUAGUUGGUAAGGUAACGGCUUACCAAGGCAACGAUGCGUAGCCGACCUGAGAGGGUGAUCGGCCACACUGGAACUGAGACACGGUCCAGACUCCUACGGGAGGCAGCAGUAGGGAAUCUUCCGCAAUGGGCGAAAGCCUGACGGAGCAACGCCGCGUGAGUGAUGAAGGUCUUCGGAUCGUAAAACUCUGUUAUUAGGGAAGAACAAAUGUGUAAGUAACUAUGCACGUCUUGACGGUGCCUAAUCAGAAAGCCACGGCUAACUACGU